rnacentral:rRNA from 1 species
UACGUAGGGGGCAAGCGUUGUCCGGAAUCAUUGGGCGUAAAGCGCGUGUAGGCGGAUUGUUAAGUCAGGGGUGAAAUCCUGGAGCUCAACUCCAGAACUGCCUUUGAUACUGGCGAUCUUGAGUCCGGGAGAGGUGAGUGGAACUGCGAGUGUAGAGGUGAAAUUCGUAGAUAUUCGCAAGAACACCAGUGGCGAAGGCGGCUCACUGGCCCGGUACUGACGCUGAGGUGCGAAAGCGUGGGGAGCAAACAGG